UACAGAGGUCUCAAGCGUUGUUCGGAUUCAUUGGGCGUAAAGGGUGCGUAGGUGGCGCUGUAAGUCAGAUGUGAAAUUUCGGAGCUUAACUCCGAAACUGCAUUCGAUACUGCGGUGCUUGAGGACUGGAGAGGAGACUGGAAUUCAUGGUGUAGCAGUGAAAUGCGUAGAGAUCAUGAGGAAGACCAGUGGCGAAGGCGGGUCUCUGGACAGUUCCUGACACUGAGACACGAAGGCCAGGGGAGCAAACGGG
rnacentral:rRNA from 1 species